rnacentral:lncRNA from 1 species
CAGCCAUCAGAAAAAGUGAAAUCAUAUCUUUUGCAGCAACAUGGAUGGAACUGGUAGCCAUUGUCUUAAAUGAAACAACUCAGAAACAGAAAGCCAAAUAUCGCAUGUUCUCACUUAUAAGUGGUUAGUUUUCCCAUCAUCAUGGGAAGAAUAACACCUGCUUCACAGGGUUGUUUUGAAGGUGAAAUUAUCUGACAUAUGUAAAGUUGGUAAAGAUUUCUCUCUGGAAUAGUAUGAAAUCAACAUAAAUGCUUGCUAUUGUUACAAGCAACUUGAGGGGAAAAAUAAUACGUAUUAUUUAAAUUUCCAUCUGCAUGCCUGAGCACCAGCAUUCUGGGUGCUAACUAUAGGAAGAGGACUGAGGCUGAGGUUAUUCCAUUCAUAAACCAUUAUUCAUUUCCUCAUUCCUAUCUUUGCACCCUCAUCUGUGCCCGUUGUCCUCCAGUGCAGAGAUUCCAGUUUUACCUUCUUCAAAGAACAAAUGCCAUUUUCUGAUUGGAGAUGGCGAGGGGCAGCUACCUGGCUCUUCAGAGUCAGGGAGGGAUUUUGAGGUCCAAUU